rnacentral:lncRNA from 1 species
UUUUUUUUUUUUUGUCUUUUUAGGGCUGCAUUGGUGACAUAUAGAGGUUCCCAGGCUAGGGGUCUAAUUAGAACUGCAGCUUCCAGCCGAUGCCACAACCACAGCAACGCAGGAUCCAAGCUGCAUCUGAGGCCUAUGUACACCACAGCUCACGGCAAUGCCAGAUCCUUAACCCACUGAGCGAGGUCAGGGGUCAAACCUGUGUCCUCAUGUUCCUUAGCUGCUGAGCCAUGAUGGGAGCUCUAAUUUUUUCCCCGUGUAAUGAGAACCUUUAAGGUCUAGUCUUCUAGCGACAUUCAGAUGUGCAGUACAGUAUUAUCAACUAUAAUCACCAUGACUUGUUUUAUAACUGGAAGUUCGUACCUUUUGAGCCCCUUCACCCAUUUAUCCACCUUGAGGCGGGGCAGUGUGGUAAGGAUGUGCCUUUCCUCAUUGAGCAAGGAGCCGCUUUCAGCUCUUGCUUUGGGGACCAUCCUGGCUGCAGCUAUAGUUCUGCCCUUGGCUGUGGGAAUAGCUUUCUUGCUCUCUGCCAGGCACACAGAAGAGUAGGGUGUGUGUGUGUGUGUGUGUGUGUGGACUGGAAAGCUGAAGCUGAGGAAUAGAAUGACAAGAUCCCUGGAGUGAAAGGCUCGGCCUUGCUUCCCCCGAUCUUGACCUGUCUGGCCUGGAGACCCUAGUAGGCACAAGGUGACUGGCUGUGUUUGUCCUUCCUGUGUCCUCCAGGCUGAUGUUCCAGUGAGGAGCGAGGCUCCCCAAUAUCCUUCCUCCGCUGUACCCCUCUCAUGGGGCCAGAGAGACCCUGUAUUGAGUUAUGCACGAAGCAUAUAUACUAUAAAUGUAUGUGUGUAUGGGAGGAAGGAAUUUUGGCUUGAAAACAUUUUUUUAUUGGCAAAGAUAGCACUUCUCCUAAAGGAGAUGGCAGAAUUUGCCAAACUAAGCCUCCAGAAGAAAAUAUAACAGAGAGUGUGAAAGAAAUCCAUGUUCAAACAUUGGCAAGUGUGAAACACUCAAGAAUUCUUGUGUGAACAUCUUAUUGUCAGAGCAAAAUUAAAUUAAGCUGGUCUCUGGCAAGUGUUCAGAUGAACACAGAAUGGGAGCAAGCUGAUGGAGAUUGCUCUGACAUUUGUGCAAGAAGCCAGACAGAGCAUAGUCGGCGAAACCAGGAAGCCUGAGAGUUGAGUUCUUCAGUUAAUUAAGGCCCAAGAACUUAAGUUCUUUGUGUUCCAAGUAACUGCCCAAGGAAAAACUGGAAUUUUCUUCCCUCCACAACUCAAUCGCAGGCAGAGAAGGAAUGAAGUUCAUUGCCAAAUAUUUAUCGAGCAUCCCUGUGAUCCAUGCUGAGCAAACUGUUGUGCUAGGCAUUGAAGGGGAAGGUCCCGCCUCCUUGAUACAGCUGAUAGGUUACAGAUGGGAAGGCAGCUCACUAGAGUCAAAGGCAAUGUGAAACAAACGCCCAUGGGGCUGUAAGCAGAGUGCCAGGGGAUGCGGGGUUCAGAGGGAUACGUUCUGAUAGAGUCACCUUUGUGAGGUCAGGCUGUGGUUGGGGAAUACUUUACAGAAAAGAAGCAGGCUUUUAAGCUGAGUCUUGAAACAGGUAGAAUUUGUAGAGGGGAAGGCAAAGAGGGUGGAUUUUAUAGCCUGGACGUCACAGGAAUACCAGGAUGCAAGCAAUGAACCAGGGACCCCCCCCCCCCCAUACACCUCUUUCUCCCUCCUUGGAUCCUCUUCUGUGGUGGGGUCGGGGGAGGGGGGGUCUUUGCUGAGGGGCCAGACAUGCCUGAACACCAUGAGGAAGGCUGCAGCCUGGCGAUGGUCUCCUGUGGGGCAAGCCCCUUUCCUUCGUGAUGACUCAGCCGUACCCUGCUCUCCUCCGUGCUUUGGUGGAUUGGCAGAUCCUGGGGUUGGGCAGUGCCGCUCUGUCUUCUCUUCUGAGACUUGUCAGCCCGUGGUUGCCGUGUUACAGUAUGGCAGUGCUUGGAGCAGGUGGGCAGUCCUUCCCUCCAUCCUCCUUCCUUCUCUGCAGGCACAGGGGUUCACCUUCAUGGCGGCCACUUCCUCAAAUUUGAGAAGCAAGACUGGACUCAAGUUCUCCCCAUUCUGUCCCACACCUUGCAUUUUGGGUGGUCAACAUUGCCUCAUAGCUCCUCUCUCCCUGGAUUUUUAUAGCAGCAUCCUCAGGCUGAGGGCUCUCUUCUCUCCGCCACUGCUCAUGUCCUCAGGGAGUGCUUCUCCUAGGAGCCUCAGGCUGCAGCUCUUUAGCACUCGGUUUACUCCCCAGCGGGCACUGAGCUAGCUGGGCUGUGAUGGGAAGCACCAGCUGAGGACAGCUUGCUCAGAGCCGUCACUGCUCCCCACUGGGCAUCAGCCACUCUCAUUACUGGUGGCACACCUGAGCACCUGCCCGUGUCUCCGGAUCCCGGCCAGGUGCUCCAGGAGCCUGCACAAUAUUUGCGUUACUGGUGUCGGUAAUUGUCCAACGUUAGGAGCUCUGUAAAUGUUGCCUGAUGAGGCUGAAGUUCUUCUGGGCAUUUACCCGAGUAGUUCACAGUGGACUAUCUUUCUUGGCACCUUAAAGUGAUCCAGAACAGUUUGUCUGAGGAAGUAAAAUUGCUUACUGGAUGCUAAACUUUUUGUCUGGAAAAACUUUGAACCCAUGGAUGUCUUUGGGAAGAGUUGACGUCUUUACCAUUCAUGUGGUUAUUUGUUUUCACGUUCUGGCCUUCUAUAAAGCAUUAUAGUUUUUCAUAGGGCUUGACUUACAUAUUUUGUGUAUUGCUGUUAUUGUGAAUUAGGUAAUUUUUCAUUGUUGUCCAAUUUUGUAUGUAUGUGUAUAUAUUUAUCAUAAUAUUUUGUAUGUAUGUGUAUAUAUAUUUAUGAUAAUAUAUAAAAACAUAAAAGCUGUUGCAUUUUGAUUUGUUUUGAUUUUCUGUUUUUGUUCAUAUAUGUGUUUUAUUUUCAAAUAGUUACACAUUGGAAAGAAAUUUUAUUUCUUUCUACUUACUGUGCACCUGCUUUGUUUCAUAUCUUCUUGUCCUGGAUAGAAAUUAUAAAUAUGUACACACAUAUAUGUAUAUACGCAUUUAUAUAUAGAUUUUAAAUAUGGAUGUAACCAAUGUCUUUGUGUGUCCAUUAUUUAUUUGUCUGUUGAUUUUUAUAAGGGCACCUAUAGCAUUUCAUUUUUAAUUAAAAUAUUCACAUGGAUCUAAGAAAUAUUAUUAUUAUUUGGAAUGAUAAGGUGGUAUCCUAUUCUUAGUUUUUUAAGUACUUUUUCAAAAUUAAGGAAUAGUUCUUAAAUGUUUGAUAUCAAUUGAAAAAACUGUCAUUUUUCUCCCAUGUCCUUGAAGUGAUAUCCUAAUAUAAAUUGAUUUUUGAAUAUUUAACCACUUACACAUGUGCAAAUCAGCCACAGUGAGUCAUUUAUUAUUUUUAUUGUGUUGCUGCACUAGAUUUAUUGUUUUGUUUAGAUUUUUUGUAUCCAUAUUAUAAGUGAGUUUGAUCUGUAGAUUUCUAUUUUGUGUUCUCUUUGGUAGGUUGUAGAAUCUAGGUUACGGUAGUCAUGAAAUGAAUGGAAAAGUUUAUCAUAUUUUUCUACGGGACUGUAUAUAGCACAAGUAAUAUUUAUUUGAAAAAAAAGUAUAUAAUUUGCUUGUAAAACUAGCUGAUCAAUCAGAGCUAUUUGGGGAGCCAGUUCUCUGAUACUAGUGUCCAUUUCUUUCAUGAUUUCCUGUCUCUUAAAAUGUCCCACUUCUUAAUUCAAUAUAUAUCAUCCUCCUAAACCAUCCAUAUCAGACUUAUUAGCAGAGUUACCCAUAGCUUUCAUGUAAUAAAAUAACUUCUUAUCUCUCUUGCCAGCCAUUUCCACUUUUGCAUGUUUGUACUAACUUUUUUUUUCCAAUUAGACUUCUGAGAAAUCUAUGCACUUUAUUGUUUUAGACACCAUGUGGUUGGUUUUUCAGUUUCAAACUCUAUAUAACGUGUUAGUUACAUGGCACUAUGACAAAGCUUGUGGAAUUGAAAGCUUGUGGAAUGUGAAUUAAGUGCUCCUAGGACUUAAUAUCAAUUGAUUCACAUUCAUUUCUUUAGCAGGAGGCAACUUUGGGGGUUAGUUAGAAUCAGACAUAAGGAGGCCAUAAGUAGCUCUACUUGGCAAGGCAGAGGGAAUCAGCAGCCGGUAGAGCCAUAGCAGGAAUAGUAAGGAGAAGAGAAUGUGCAUCCAGGGAAAGGAUGAAGCAGUGGACACUGGGACAAGUCUCAGGGUGAACAGGGUGGUUGAGUUCCUGCAGGUGGUGUGUCUUCUUCUUCCUCUUUCCUGACUCCUUACUCUCACACUUUUCAAGUCUCCUUAAGUUUAGAAUCUAACCUAUGUUCUCUCCCUUCAUCCUUUACUCCCUCUUUAGGCUUGAACUUUGUCUCCAGCUUGGGUUUUUGGAGGCCAUUGCUAAUCUUUGCUUCAGAACAGGAAGCUUGCCUCAAUUUGAUAAAUUUGCUCCAUUUUUAUGUCCAUGUUAUUCCACAAAAAUAGAUUUUUUUCGUAAAAAUGAGAGAAUUGUCAACUUACCCCAUAAAAUUCAUUGAAGAACAUUAAAAAAAAAAGCUUAAAUAGUGGCGGGAGACACUUGGAAUUCCCAUCGUGGCGCAGCAGAAAUGAAUCCGAUUAGGAACCAUGAGGUUGUGGGUUCGAUCCCUGGCCUUGCUCAGUGGAUUAAGGAUCCAGUGUUGCCAUGAGCUGUGGUGUAGGUUGCAGAUGUGGCUCAGAUCUGGUGUUGCUGAGGCUGUGGUGUAGGCUGGCAACUAUAGCUCUGAUUGGACCCUCUAGCCUGGGAACCUCCAUAUGCCACGGGGGCGGCCCUAAAAAGAAAAAAAAAAAAAAAAAAAAAAA